UACGGAGGGGGCGAGCGUUGUCCGAAGUUACUGGGCGUAAAGCGCGUGUAGGCGGGUUGCCAAGUCCGCUGUGAAAGCCCGAGGCUCAACCUCGGAGGGUCGGUGGAUACUGGCAGUCUUGAAGGUGCUAGGGGGAGAUGGAAUUACCGGUGUAGCGGUGAAAUGCGUAGAGAUCGGUAGGAACACCAGUGGCGAAGGCGGUCUCCUGGGGCAUUCUUGACGCUGAGACGCGAAAAGCUGGGGGGAGCGAACAGG
rnacentral:rRNA from 1 species